rnacentral:rRNA from 1 species
CCCAGUGGCGGACGGGUGAGUAACGCGUGGGUAACCUGCCCUGUACAGGGGGACAACAGCCGGAAACGGCUGCUAAUACCGCAUAAGCCCGCGGCGCCGCAUGGCGCUGCGGGGAAAACUCCGGUAGUACAGGAUGGGCCCGCGUCUGAUUAGCUAGUUGGCGGGGUAACGGCCCACCAAGGCAGCGAUCAGUAGCCGGCUUGAGAGAGUGGACGGCCACAUUGGGACUGAGACACGGCCCAGACUCCUACGGAAGGCAGCAG